CCCACACUCAUACAUGUGCCCCUGUCCACUAAGCUGCGCACUCUCCCUGGGGCCUUAUCAAAUGCUGUCAGCAGCUACCUAACGGUUUGUUGGUUGUUAAUCCUAAUUAAUCACUUGCAUGUUAUGACGCCUUCUAAGAGUUUACACAGGACAUUCAGUAAAUAUGUCCCGAGGUGAAGCACAUUAGGUUCACCUGUGAACUGCCUAUAAUUACCAACUACAUCGAUCACAAACCACACACAAACUGGAAUACUAGACCGUUGCCCUAAUCAUACCUCCUAAUUGUCCCUAGUUUGGUUUCCAAUCCAUCUGUCCUUAUUUUCUCUCCUAAUGUCCCUCUUUUCUAGAAACUUCAUAUUGUUGGUGUAUCUACGUGCACACCACAGCUCCAAAGCAUUAAUACUCACAGCAAUGUCUUUAAACUACAAUAAAUAGCAUUUGGAGUUUUUGACACACCAGAAUAUUUGACACACACGUACAGUAUAUUUUAACUUAAAUUUAGACAAAAAAAAUAAAACAACCUAUUACCUGAUUACAGUAACAUUCCGUUUAUGCUUAUAGGGGAUCUAAUGUGUGUAUGGUGUGUAUAGGCGGUCUCUAAAUGAAAUCUGGCAGUGUCCUUGCCUCAUUAUUAUUAUUAUAUGUGUCUGUCUGUGAGUGUGACCAGCGCCUUCCAGUCAUGUGGGAAAGUUGUUUUUAUUCACCUUUUUUCCCACGCAGUGCCGUCUCCCAAUUUCUGUCCCCAAAUCUAUUGCUGAGAUAAUCAAUCUUGAUGAUCUCAGGCAAUCCAGUUCUUUCCCAAAGUAUUGGGAGGUUAUUGAUCAGGUUCUGCAAAACGCUGCACCAAUCAGCAUCUCCUCAGGGUCAAGGCAUCUCUAUUGCGAAUGUUCAACACCUCCAUGCAGAGAGUGGAGACUCUAUAUGCAUGUGCUACACACUGUGCAGAACUGGACUAAGAAUCACCUCUAGUGGCUGUCUGAGUGACUGUCACUAGAGGUGUCACUAGGAAGCAAUGUAAACUCCGUAUUUUCUCUGAAUAGGCAGUGUUUAGAUUGAAAAGCCUUCAGGGACAGGAUAUACACACCACUACCUUAAUAUACAUACAUAAGGUGGAGCUUGUAUAAAUCUGUAAAAAUAAAACAAAACAGUGGUGCAAUAUUGCCAGUUCAAAUAUUUCAAAGUUACUCACAAGUAAAGAGCCAUUAACCUCAUAUGGCUCUGAUGGAAGGUGUAGUAGGACGCUUAGAGGAGGUCCAACUCCUAUU